rnacentral:rRNA from 1 species
AGCGAACGCUGGCGGCAGGCUUAACACAUGCAAGUCGAGCGGGCCCUUCGGGGUCAGCGGCAGACGGGUGAGUAACACGUGGGAACGUACCCUUUGGUUCGGAAUAACGCUGGGAAACUAGCGCUAAUACCGGAUACGCCCUUUUGGGGAAAGGCUUGCUGCCGAAGGAUCGGCCCGCGUCUGAUUAGCUAGUUGGUGGGGUAAUGGCCUACCAAGGCGACGAUCAGUAGCGGGUCUGAGAGGAUGAUCAGCCACACUGGGACUGAGACACGGCCCAGACUCCUACGGGAGGCAGCAGUGGGGAAUAUUGGACAAUGGGCGCAAGCCUGAUCCAGCCAUGCCGCGUGAGUGAUGAAGGCCUUAGGGUUGUAAAGCUCUUUUGUCCGGGACGAUAAUGACGGUACCGGAAGAAUAAGCCCCGGCUAACUUCGUG